AGAGUUUGAUCCUGGCUCAGGACGAACGCUGGCGGCGUGCUUAAUACAUGCAAGUCGAGCGAGGUUACUGCGACAGAUCCCUUCGGGGUGAAGUUGCUUUAGCCUAGCGGCGGACGGGUGAGUAACGCGUGGGUAACCUACCCUAAAGUUCGGGAUAACAGCGGGAAACCGCUGCUAAUACCGGAUGCCUUUACCGUGUGGCAUCACAGGGUAAAGAAAGGUAACGCUUUAGGAUGGGCCCGCGUCCCAUUAGCUAGUUGGUGAGGUAACAGCUCACCAAGGCGACGAUGGGUAGCCGGCCUGAGAGGGUGGACGGCCACACUGGGACUGAGACACGGCCCAGACUCCUACGGGAGGCAGCAGUAGGGAAUAUUGCGCAAUGGACGGAAGUCUGACGCAGCGACGCCGCGUGAGCGAUGAAGGCCUUCGGGUUGUAAAGCUCUGUCCUUGGGGAAGAAGGUCUUCGGACUUGACGGUACCCAAGAAGAAAGCCCCGGCUAACUACGUGCCAGCAGCCGCGGUAAUACGUAGGGGGCGAGCGUUGUCCGGAAUUACUGGGCGUAAAGGGUGCGUAGGCGGCCCUUUAAGUCAGAUGUGAAAGCCCGCAGCUUAACUGCGGAAUUGCAUUUGAAACUGGAGGGCUUGAGUGUCGGAGAGGGUAGUGGAAUUCCCAGUGUAGCGGUGAAAUGCGUAGAUAUUGGGAGGAACACCAGUGGCGAAGGCGACUGCCUGGACGAUAACUGACGCUGAGGCACGAAAGCUAGGGGAGCAAACAGGAUUAGAUACCCUGGUAGUCCUAGCCGUAAACGAUGGGUACUAGGUGUAGGGUGGUUUCGAUACCAUCUGUGCCGUAGUUAACGCAUUAAGUACCCCGCCUGGGGGAGUACGUGCGCAAGCAUGAAACUCAAAGGAAUUGACGG
rnacentral:rRNA from 1 species